rnacentral:rRNA from 1 species
GAGUUUGAUCCUGGCUCAGAAACGAACGCUGGCGGCGUGCCUGACACAUGCAAGUCGUACGAGAAACACGUCCUUCGGGGCGUGGAGUAAAGUGGCGCACGGGUGAGUAACACGUGGGUAACCUGCCCUUGGAACCGGGAUAACUGGCCGAAAGGCCCGCUAAUACCGGAUAAGACUUCAUGAGCUUCGGCUCAUGCGGCCAAAGUCGGCCUCUCGAAAAAGCCGGCGCCUGAGGAUGGGCCCGCGGACCAUUAGCUAGUUGGUGAGGUAACGGCCCACCAAGGCCGAGAUGGUUAGCUGGUCUGAGAGGAUGAUCAGCCACACUGGAACUGAGAUACGGUCCAGACUCCUACGGGAGGCAGCAGUGAGGAAUAUUGCGCAAUGGAGGCAACUCUGACGCAGCAACGCCGCGUGGGUGAAGAAGGCUUUCGGGUUGUAAAGCCCUGUCAGGUGGGAAGAAACCUCUUCUAGUGAAUAGCUAGAGGAACUGACGGUACCACCAAAGGAAGCACCGGCUAACUCCGUGCCAGCAGCCGCGGUAAGACGGAGGGUGCAAGCGUUGUUCGGAAUCACUGGGCGUAAAGCGCGUGUAGGCGGUUCGAUAAGUCGAGU